AUGAAGGUCAGGCUGAAGACCUUACCCGAUUAGCUGAGAGGUGGUGCAUGGCCGUCGUCAGUUCGUACUGUGAAGCAUCCUGUUAAGUCAGGCAACGAGCGAGACCCACGUCCACAGUUGCCAGCAUACCCGUCCGGGGUGAUGGGUACACUGUGGAGACCGCCGCUGCUAAAGCGGAGGAAGGAGUGGGCAACGGUAGGUCAGUAUGCCCCGAAUCUCCCGGGCUACACGCGGGCUACAAUGGUUGGUACAACGGGCAUCUACCCCGAAAGGGGAAGGAAAUCUCUUAAAGCCAAUCGUAGUUCGGAUUGAGGGCUGCAACUCGCCCUCAUGAAGCUGGAAUCCGUAGUAAUCGCGUUUCAACAGAACGCGGUGAAUACGUCCCUGCUCCUU
rnacentral:rRNA from 1 species